rnacentral:rRNA from 1 species
UACGUAGGUGGCAAGCGUUGUCCGGAUUUAUUGGGUUUAAAGGGUGCGUAGGCGGCUUUGUAAGUCAGUGGUGAAAUAUGGCAGCUCAACUGUCAGGGUGCCAUUGAUACUGCGGAGCUUGAGUACAGAUGAGGUAGGCGGAAUUGACGGUGUAGCGGUGAAAUGCUUAGAUAUCGGUGGGAACGCCAGUGGCGAAAGCGGCAAACUUGACCCUUCCUGACGCUGAGGCGCGAAAGCUAGGGGAGCAAACGGG